rnacentral:rRNA from 1 species
CGAAGGUGGCGAGCGUUACUCGGAAUUACUAGGCGUAAAGCGCGAGCAGGCGGCUCGAUAAGUCUGUUGUGAAAGCCCCGGGCUCAACCCGGGGAGGUCAAUGGAUACUGUCGGACUUGAAUACGAGAGAGGUCACUGGAAUUCCUGGUGUAGCGGUGAAAUGCGUAGAUAUCAGGAGGAACACCGAAGGCGAAGGCAGGUGACUGGAUCGUUAUUGACGCUGAGUCGCGAAAGCCGGGGGAGCAAACAGGAUUAGAUACCCUGGUAGUCCCGGCUGUAAACUAUGUUCACUAGGUGUGGGAGGUAUCGAACCCCUUCCGCGCCGACGCUAACGCAUUAAGUGAACCGCCUGGGAAGUACGGCCGCAAGGUUG